rnacentral:misc_RNA from 1 species
UGGGUUUGAACUGCACAGGAAAGUCUCAGAGAUGAGAGCCCCUCUUCGGAGGUCUGUGUAGAGGUGCUGCAUGGCUGUCGUCAGCUCGUGUCGUGAGAUGUUGGGUUAAGUCCCGCAACGAGCGCAACCCUUAUUCAUAGUUACUAACGUGUAAUGGCGAGAACUCUAUGGAGACUGCCGGUGAUAAACCGGAGGAAGGUGGGGAUGACGUUUACCGACAGCU